GACGGGGGGGGCAAGUGUUCUUCGGAAUGACUGGGCGUAAAGGGCACGUAGGCGGUGAAUCGGGUUGAAAGUGAAAGUCGCCAAAAAGUGGCGGAAUGCUCUCGAAACCAAUUCACUUGAGUGAGACAGAGGAGAGUGGAAUUUCGUGUGUAGGGGUGAAAUCCGUAAAUAUACGAAGGAACGCCAAAAGCGAAGGCAGCUCUCUGGGUCCCUACCGACGCUGGGGGUGCGAAAGGCAUGGGGAGCGAACAGG
rnacentral:rRNA from 1 species